CGACGCCGCGGUAACACCGGCGGCCCGAGUGGUGAUCGUGAUUAUUGGGUCUAAAGGGUCCGUAGCCGGUUUGGUCAGUCCUCCGGGAAAUCUGAUAGCUCAACUAUUAGGCUUUCAGGGGAUACUGCCAGACUUGGAACCGGGAGAGGUAAGAGGUACUACAGGGGUAGGAGUGAAAUCUUGUAAUCCCUGUGGGACCACCUGUGGCGAAGGCGUCUUACCAGAACGGGUUCGACGGUGAGGGACGAAAGCUGGGGGCACGAACCGGAUUAGAUACCCGGGUAGUCCCAGCCGUAAACGAUGCUCGCUAGGUGUCAGGCAUGGCGCGACCGUGUCUGGUGCCGCAGGGAAGCCGUGAAGCGAGCCACCUGGGAAGUACGGCCGCAAGGCUGAAACUUAAAGGAAUUGGCGGGGGAGCACAACAACGGGUGGAGCCCUGCGGUUUAAUUGGACUCAACGCCGGACAACUCACCGGGGGCGACAGCAAUAUGUAGGCCAAGCUGAAGACUUUGCCUGAAUCGCUGAGAAGAGGUGCAUGG
rnacentral:rRNA from 1 species